AGCAGCCGCGGUAAUUCCAGCUCCAAUAGCGUAUAUUAAAGUUGUUGCAGUUAAAAAGCUCGUAGUUGAAUUUCGAGAUCAAUUUGUCGGUCGUGCCUCGGUACGUACUGGCAUUAUUGAUUUCUCCCUUCUGAAGAACCGCGAUGUCAUUAAUUUGGUGUCGUGGGGAAUCAGGACUGUUACUUUGAAAAAAUUAGAGUGUUUAAAGCAGGCGCACGCUUGAAUACAUUAGCAUGGAAUAAUGAAAUAGGACGUUUGAUUCUAUUUUGUUGGUUUCUAGGAUCGACGUAAUGAUUAAUAGGGAUAGUUGGGGGCAUUAGUAUUCAAUUGUCAGAGGUGAAAUUCUUGGAUUUAUUGAAGACUAACUACUGCGAAAGCAUUUGCCAAGGAUGUUUUCAUUAAUCAAGAACGAAAGUUAGGGGAUCGAAGACGAUCAGAUACCGUCGUAGUCUUAACCAUAAACUAUGCCGACUAGGGAUCGGAUGAUGUAAUUUUUAAUGA
rnacentral:rRNA from 1 species